AACUCAAAGGAAUUGACGGGGGCCCGCACAAGCGGAGGAGCAUGUGGUUUAAUUCGAUGAUACGCGAGGAACCUUACCUGGGCUUAAAUGCUUAAUGACGUACUGGAAACUGGUAUUUCUUCGGACAUUUUGCAAGGUGCUGCAUGGUUGUCGUCAGCUCGUGCCGUGAGGUGUCGGGUUAAGUCCCAUAACGAGCGCAACCCCUAUUGUUAGUUGCCAUCAGGUCAUGCUGGGGACUCUAACAAAACUGCCCGCGUAAGCGUGGAGGAAGGUGGGGAUGACGUCAAAUCAGCACGGCCCUUACGUCCAGGGCUACACACGUGUUACAAUGGCCGGUACAGAGGGCAGCCACUUGGUGACAAGGAGCAAAUCUCAAAAGCCGGUCUCAGUUCGGAUCGGAGUCUGCAACUCGACUCCGUGAAGUUGGAUUCGCUAGUAAUCGUAGAUCAGCAAUGCUACGGUGAAUACGUUCCCGGGCCUU
rnacentral:rRNA from 1 species